rnacentral:rRNA from 1 species
UACAGAGGGGGCAAGCGUUAUUCGGAAUUAUUGGGCGUAAAGGGCGCGUAGGCGGCCUGGCAAGUGGAAGGUGAAAUCCCUCGGCCUAACCGAGGAACUGCCCUCCAAACUGCUUGGCUUGAGUCCGGGAGAGGUGAGUGGAAUUCCCAGUGUAGCGGUGAAAUGCGUAGAUAUUGGGAGGAACACCAGUGGCGAAGGCGGCUCACUGGACCGGAACUGACGCUGAGGCGCGAAAGCGUGGGGAGCAAACGGG